CCUAGUAAGCACAAGUCAUUAGCUUGUGCUGAUUACGUCCCUGCCCUUUGUACACACCGCCCGUCGCUACUACCGAUUGAAUGGCUUAGUGAGGCCUUCGGAUUGAGUUUCGGAAACUGGCAACAGAUUCUGAUUCUUAAAAAGUUGGACAAACUUGGUCAUUUAGAGGAAGUAAAAGUCGUAACAAGGUUUCCGUAGGUGAACCUGCGGAAGGAUCAUUAUAAAUAUUAAGCUUGCCUUGGCUUUUAUAAGUCCUGGCUUGCGAAUCCUUUGUAUUUAAAACCCCUACUCUUUUAAUAUGAAUCAUAUUUUUAUGUUAAAAUAAUAUAAAGAUCACUUUCAACAACGGAUCUCUAGGCUCUCGCAUCGAUGAAGAACGUAGCGAAGUGCGAUAAGUAAUGUGAAUUGCAGAAUUCCGUGAAUCAUCGAAUCUUUGAACGCAAAUUGCACUUCCUGGCACUCCGGGAAGUAUGCCUGUUUGAGGGUCAGUAUAAUAAUAAUCGAGAGUGUUGCUUUUUUUUAUUUGGUAUCACUUUCGGAAUUGAGUUAUCUUAACAUUCUUGUUUAAGUGACUUAAAAUUGAAAAUUCAUACGUAUUUUAGGCGUGAUUAGAAUUUUCUAUGCGUCUCGAAUACUGAAAUUUUUAUUAGGCAUGACCAUCGUUAUCAAUAUGGUAAACGUGCCUAUAAUAUUUUUUGAAAAUGACCUCAAAUCAGGUAAGAAUACCCGCUGAACUUAAGCAUAUCAAUAAGCGGAGGAAAAGAAAAUAACAAUGAUUCCUUUAGUAACUGCGAGUGAAGAGGGAAAAGCUCAAAUUUAAAAUCUGUUAGGUUUACCUAACCGAGUUGUAAUUUGAAGAAGCGUUUUCGGUGUUUAUUGGUUGGCCUAAAUCCCUUGGAAUGGGGUAUCAUGGAGGGUGAGAAUCCCGUACGGCUAAUCAUUACGCUUUACGAUACGCUUUCUAAGAGUCAAGUUGUUUGGGAUUGCAGCUUAAAAUGGGAGGUAAAUUUCUCCUAAGGCUAAAUAUUGGCGAGAGACCGAUAGCGAACAAGUACCGUGAGGGAAAGAUGAAAAGUACUUUGAAAAGAGAGUCAAACAGCGCGUGAAAUUGUUGAAAGGGAAACGAUUGAAGUCAGUCGUACCGACGAGAAAUCAGCUAUCUUGAGUGCGAUUUUGUGGGUAGUGAAGAGCUUAACGGCCUCCUUAUUUGCAAAUUUGUAUUCUAAUGGUGUAUUUUUUCGUAUGGUAGGUCAACAUCAAUUUUGAUCGUUAUAAAAUAAUUGGUGGAAUGUAGCUUCGGUCUCGUAUUGAAGUGUUAUAGCCCCUGAUAGAUGUAAUGAUCGAGAUUGAGGAUUGCAACGAAUACCUUUCGAGGCUAUUCGCCUGAUCUCUGGAAGUCACUUUGGUAUCGAAAGCGUGCUUUCGGUAUUGAGGAUGGUGACCAAAAGGUUAGAGCGUGAUUAAAUUCGUUAAGGAUGUUGACGUAAUGACUUUAAACGACCCGUCUUGAAACACGGACCA
rnacentral:sRNA from 1 species